GUGUCAGCCGCCGCGGUAAUACCGGCAGCCCGAGUGAUGGCCGAUCCUAUUGGGCCUAAAGCGUCCGUAGCUGGCUGCGCAAGUCCGUCGGGAAAUCCACGUGCUCAACGCGUGGGCGUCCGGCGGAAACCACUCGGCUUGGGGCCGGAGGACUCGAGGGGUACGUCUGGGGUAGGAGUGAAAUCCCGUAAUCCUGGACGGACCGCCGAUGGCGAAAGCACCUCGAGAGGACGGACCCGACAGUGAGGGACGAAAGCCAGGGUCUCGAACCGGAUUAGAUACCCCGGUAGACC
rnacentral:rRNA from 1 species